GCGCACUUAGCUCAGCGGGAGAGCACCUCCUUGACGCGGAGGGGGCCAGAGGUUCGAUCCCUCUAGUGCGCACCA
rnacentral:tRNA from 3 species